AACAUCUGUGGGGGGGGAAAUGUCUCUAACAGCAGGUCUUCAGGACAUGGCUGAAGCAUUAAUAUCAGGCUGCCUUUUGCACUCCUUAAUAAGUUUUUUUCUUGUAUUGUUAAUGAAUUUUGAUGGAUAUUGAUAAAGACCCAGUGCAGACCUGGUGCGAUAACCUUCCCCUUGAGAAAAAGGGAGUGACCACAAAAAAGAAACAAACUGAGAGCCUGGUUUUGAAGAAUUUCAGAAAAGCGUUUUCAUCUAACUUUUGCUGUCACCUGACAGCAUUAUGGACGAAUAUGGUCUGUGUUGUCUUUCCUGUGUCAGAUACUCCUGUUAGUUUGAAAGGUGGGGUGAGAAGCCAGUAUGGAGCAGAGGUUUUUAACCUGUAUUCUGCAGACAAGGAAGACAAGCAGAUAAAAACAUUACCAGUGAGGGAGCCUUCAAGUUCUCUGAUAAUUUGCUGUGUUAAGUGCAGGCGCAUUCGGUGGAACAUCACAGCCAAUCUUUAUCUUCUUUUCAAGAGGUGUAAUUUGCAAACUAGUCUCAAAAGAUGGGUGUCAAGUUAAGCCUCAAACAGUUUUCCAAUGAACGUUUUUUGUAGUGUUUAUCAGUUCUUAAACCUAUUGCUUUUUUCCAAAUGUUAACUUAAAAUAUUCAUCCUACAACUAAGCCCACUACAUCUUCUUCUGUUUCCUUUAGCUAAUGAGAAUUGAUUCUUUCCCUUUUUAUGUAUCUGUAGAAAAUUCCAUGCUCAGCUGUCUUUUCUAGAAAGAACAUUCCUCAUCCUCUUAACCUAAGUACAUCUUGAAGGCUUCUUUCCCUGUAUAGGUGAGAUUUUUUUUUGUUUGUUUGUUUCUAUUCUCAUGUUUAUUUUGCAAUGUAACAUGGAAAGAAUGAAAUAAGAUUUUGUUUUGAAGGAAGCCUUUAGAGGUGUGUACUAAUCACACUUCUAAUGCUUUCUUUGCCCAGCUUGGUAGAGUAUUUGGACUUAAGACUGCUUUGAUACAUCUUUAUUUUCAUCCCUUUAUUUCUAAUGGAUGGCUGGUAAGCCGUUCGGUUUCCAUCAGCAUAUCUUGGACAAUCUGUCCACUGAAGUCAGUCUUGGUACAGGAAAGUCUUGUAGUCUGUGUUUGUGUGUGUAUGUAUGUAUAUAUAUAUAUAUAUAUAUAUACACACUUUAUUCCUCUUCAAAUGGAAUCAUAUAUAUGCACGUAAUAUCCAAAAUAUAUGGAUGGUGUUAUAAUUUACAUGUUAAGAAUUGUUUUAGGAAGACUGAGAUUUUAACUGAGGUAGAAUUGUAAAUAUGAAAACUUGAAGUGAAGGAUGGGUGAGAACAAUACAUUGUACAGAUUCUAU
ensembl:lncRNA